CAGGUGGCGGAAUCGGUAUACGCGUCAGACUCAAAAUCUGAUGUCCGUGAGGGCGUGCGGGUUCAAGUCCCGCCCUGGG
rnacentral:tRNA from 1 species